UAAUGAACAACGCAAAUUCAUAACACUGCCUUUAAAAGCAUUUUCGACUCGAGAGCUGCGGCGCUUCCUUCGGGGGCGUGGCCUCCAUGACGACGAAAACCGUCUGUGCUAGUGGAGAGUGACAAAACUGCAGAGGAUUAUGGGUGCCGUUUGCUCCUGUGCGGUGGAGUGGAGGGCAAUGAUCAGCUGUACAU
rfam:Rachicladosporium antarcticum strain CCFEE 5527 scaffold_11, whole genome shotgun sequence.